UCUCCUUUGGUGUUACGCACGAAAAGAUUUGAGCUUUUAAGAGGAUUUUCCAAGGAGAA
rnacentral:tRNA from 1 species